GAGUAGCCACAGGAUGUGUGCAUAGUGCACACAUCCCCUCCACAUGCACGGAAGCACAGGAUAUGUGCACAGUGCUGCACGCACAGUGCAGGGUCAGGACCUGCGCGCCCUAUCACACGUUGGUGGGCCAUCCACAUGUCACCUUGCGCGCGGAUAGACGCUGCAACGCGCGCACAGUAGGCCUACGUGGAUAGGCCCUGUGCGCCUGGGGCCUGCCACCUAGGGCAGUGCACUACCACUACCUCGGCCAGCGUGCCACUACCAUUGGUGGAGGAGGCCCUCCUCCCUUUUGUUUUAAGCCGAGCAUCUUUUUCUCCUCUCUCUUCACCAAAUUUUGCCAUUUGGUGCGAAUU
rnacentral:lncRNA from 1 species